rnacentral:lncRNA from 1 species
UUUGGCUCCAGCACGGCUUCAGGACACAAUCCAGCACGGAUUUUGCUUUCAGCACGGAUCUGGGCUGUAAUCCAGGACAAGUUUUGGCUCCAGCACGGCUCCAGGACACAAUCCAGCACGGAUUUUGCUUUCAGCACCGAUCUGGGCUGUAAUCCAGGACAAGUUUUGGUUCCAACCAGGCUCCAGGACGCAAUCCAGCUCGGAUCUUGCUUUCCACUGGGACCCAGGCAACAGUCCAGGAUGGGUUUCGGUUCCAACCCGGAUCCACGCUGCGAUCCUGCCCAGGUUUUGGCUCCAACCCUGACCCAGACCCAAAUCCAGAUCCUGGUUUUACCCUGGCUCCAGCUCCGGGUUUUGCCUUGUGACCUGUCUCCAGAUCCUGGUUUUACCCUGGCUCCAGCUCCGGGUUUUGCCCUGUGACCUGGCUCCAGAUCCCGGUUUUACCCCAGCUCCAGCUCCAGGUUUUGCCCUGUGACCUGGAUCCAGAUCCUGGUUUUACCCCAGCUCCAGCUCCGGGUUUUGCCGCCCCAGCCGGUGUUGCUGCCCCCGGGCGCUUCGUUAGCGCCCCCUAAUUACCCCCCCCACAGCCGCAGCCACCUCGUUAGCAUCGUUAAUGGAAUUAUUAACGUACCGUUAUCGCGCUGGCGCCCUGGGAUGAAUUAAAGGGACGCGCAGCGCUGCCGGCCGCCUCCUCCCUGCCCGGACGCCUGGGCCCCCCGGUAGCCAUGACACGGUGCUGAGCUGAGGCUAAUGAAGUUUAUUAAAUAGCUUUAAAAACCAAAAAAAACGACAGAAAGCCCCAAAACAACAAAAGCUCCCCCGCCCCGUUGUUGACGGAAACGACGCAAAUCGAACCCGGACGCCUGGGUCCUCUGGCGGGGCCGGGUGCGUUCCCG